GGCCGUAACUAUAACGGUCCUAAGGUAGCGAAAUUCCUUGUCGGGUAAGUUCCGACCCGCACGAAAGGCGUAACGAUCUGGGCACUGUCUCAACGAGAGACUCGGUGAAAUUAUAGUACCUGUGAAGAUGCAGGUUACCCGCGACAGGACGGAAAGACCCCGUGGAGCUUUACUGUAACUUGAUAUUGAAUUUCGGUGCAACCUGUACAGCAUAGGUAGGAGCCAGAGAAGUCGGAGCGCUAGCUUCGAUGGAGGCGUCUAUGGGAUACUACCCUGGUUGUAUUGAACUUCUAACCCAUGCCCCUUAGCGGGGCAGGAGACAGUGUCAGGUGGACAGUUUGACUGGGGCGGUCGCCUCCUAAAGAGUAACGGAGGCGCCCAAAGGUUCCCUCAGAAUGGUUGGAAAUCAUUCGUAGAGUGUAAAGGCAGAAGGGAGCUUGACUGCGAGACCUACAAGUCGAGCAGGGACGAAAGUCGGGCUUAGUGAUCCGGUGGUUCCGCAUGGA
rnacentral:rRNA from 1 species